rnacentral:lncRNA from 1 species
GAGAGAUGUAUUAAUCAUAGAAAGAUGUCAAAGUGACGUGACAUUACAUUGAGUGCGGCACAUAGUAAACGCCAUGUGUGUGGUAUUUACGAGAGGUAUGAGUAUGAUGCAACGUAUUACCCUCAAUUUUUAAGGUUUCGAUAUCUACUCUAGUUUGUCUCAACACAUCUCACUCCGUGAAUCUAUUCAAUUUCUCUUUCUUGUUCUUCUUGUUUUGCUUACCAAACAUUCAUCACCUGGAUCUCAGCUGCCGUUUUAUUUUCGUGAAGUUAACAAAUCAAUGGUUCUGCAUGUUUGAAUUUGUGGUCAUACUUGUCCAGCUUGUUCAUUAUUUUUUCUCACGUUCUUUUAUUGCUGCAUCAUAUUCUAUUUGCAUCCAUUUUAUAUCCGUUUCAUACGUGCUUUUGAAUGAACCAACAUUUCAUUACAGCAUCCGAAAUGGCCCUCAGAGCUUUCAGGAUGGUGAUAUUGUGGUCAUUCAUGUUCCAGUAUCUGAAGAAACUACACUUGA